rnacentral:lncRNA from 1 species
AAAGUACAGUAUUGAAAUCAAUGGUGAACAUGUGCAUGUAGGUGUGAAUGUACUACAAAAAAGAACUGAUAUCAAAGUAAGUUCAUCUUUAGAAUUGCAGUUAAUUUUGAUAAUACAUUGUAAUAUGAUAUAAUCUAUUUAAAACUUUUUAGUUUUAUUGUAAUGUUUUAUAUAAAUCACUGUGUUUCAUUGUUACAGCGGAUAUAGCUACUAACCAAGCUGUAGUGAUCGAUUUUUCUUCUGACAUGGAAUGAAAAUCUCUGUUUUGUUUACUUAAUAUAAAUGUGUACUUCAAUCUAAACAUAAUGGUUGUUUUAAGGAAUGAUUUGGUCGUAGGUUGAUGAUAAGAUCAGUUUCAUUUUUUUUUCCAAAAACGAGAAUCAAUGCUUACUCUAAAAAUGUGCAAAUACUUGUCAAAGAAGUUUGCGCUUGUCUCAUCAAAUAUGAUUCUAUAUUCAUUGCAGCAACUCUUUUUCUGAUAGAAGGCCACUGUGUGUUCGUAAUAUGUAUAGCUGUUUGUCACUGUUUCAAUAGUUUGCAUUGAAAUCUUUCAUACAUAUAUAUGCUAUUUUUUCAAUAUUUUAUUCCGAAAGGAGGGAUGUGUAUGGUGUAUAGCUGACCACAUAAAUCCUUGUGUACGGUGCAUAGUUAAAUGCAUGUACGAUAUAAAGCCUUUCACACUUCGAAAUACCUAUACACCAGCUAUAUUUGGCAUGUUUGGUGUACCGAUGAUACACACUGAUAAUCGAAUAUGUAAACUGUUGCUUAUUUUUACGUCAAUCCGAUUUUAAGUAUGCUUCAAGGCAUUCUUCCCCUGCUCCCCUGAUAUUGCUCCAUAAAAUAUUUGCCACUGGACAUUAGAAUAAGUAAUAAAAAUCAACAGCUUUUUCAAUGAACCAGCAUAUAAAUAUGAAGAGAUGAGGUAUGAUCUUCAAUGUGACCAAAUAUCAAUUAAAAGACCAUAGGACAAAGAUCAUUAAGAUGUAAACAUUCACUUGUCACUGUACAGCCUUAAACAAUGAUCAAAAUCCAUACCAUAAAGUAACCUAUAAAGAUAAAGAAUGUUAACCAAUGAAAAAAUUAAAACUACAUGUACAUACAGUUAUGGAAGACAGCACCCAACAUAUAUAUAAGAACCUACUCUCAAAAUUAACCAGAAAUGACUAGACACAUCAGUCAUUGUCUAUAGGUACCCCGGUACUUAAACAUAAAAUGUGCAAAAAUUUUGUUUUCUCAAACUGAAAUAUCUAUCCUUCCAGGAAUUUAGUGUAAAAACAUUUGUCACUUGAAGCAGUUUAGGAAAGUAUGACUUAUAAUGCCAAAAUAUUGAACUUAUCAGAAGGAUAUUAAACCAUAACAGCGUUAAUGAAUAUAUGUAUUGCUAUUUGCUGAGAUCUAUUUUUUGACAAAAGCGAGAGAUAGCGAUUUUAGAUUCUGUCUGUGGUAUGGUCAACAUUUAGGUUUAGUCUAGAUCUGUUUAAAGUUUUUUUGGACAUCAAUAACUUUGUCAAACAUACAUGGAUUUUUAUAAAAUUGGAUGACAUGUACUUUAUUUUAUCUGACCAACUUUGUUUUAUCUGACCACUAGAACACACAUAUUAUGUAUUUGUUUUUUUCUGCUUAAACCCGGCCCGUAAUUCAUAAUUUAUUGAAACUUUCCACAUAUUAAUCCCAUUGUGCAUCUCCUUUUUAUGCCCUUGCUGAAGCAGAGGGGCAUUUAAUUUUUGUCUGUCUUUACAUCCUUACAUACUUACAUUGCAAAAUUGGUUUCCAUUCUCUACAUGUAGUUCUAUUGUUUGCCUCAAUCAAAUGAUGUAAAACUUGUAUACAAUGCCUAUUACCACAAAAUGCAGAUCAAGUUUGAAUUUAAGUGGCAUCCCUUUUACCGUUCUAGAGAAAUGCCCCUAAAAAUUCCUAAAUUUUUCAUUUCUCAAUCUGCUGAGCUUUCCCGAGGGUAUCACCAGCCCAGUAGUCAGCACUUUUUUGUGCUGACAUGAAUUAUCAUUGAUAUGGUUAUAUUUAUAAAUUAACUGUUCACAAAAUUUAGAAUUUUUGAAAUACUUAGGCUUUUCUACCUCAGGCCUAAUACCUUAGCUUGAUUAAGAAAAACUUUUAGGAAUUUUGGUCCUUAAUGCUCUUCAACUUUGUACUUUAUUAGGCCUUUUAAACUUUUUUGGAUUCAAGCGUCACUGAUGAGUCUUUUGUAGACAAAACUCUCGUCUGGCAUACAUACAAAAUUUAGUCCUUGGUAUCUAUGAUGAGUUUAUUUACUUAAGGUUUGCCUCAACCAAAUGUUAUGAAUCUUAAACACAAUGCUUAUUAGUUAUAGUACAAAUGUAUAACAUCAGAACAAAGAUCACUUUUGGAUUUUGGUGACAUCAUUUUUAUUGUAUAGAGUUAUGCCCCUUUACAAAUGGAAAAAAAUGGUGAUUUUUUUAGUUUCCAUUCUCUAACUAAGAGUUUGCCUCUCCUAUAUACAAUAAACAUAGACAUUACGGCAGUUUUUUUAACAUUCUAAAACUAACACGUCCACUUGUAUUUUUGUCCAUCUGAUGAGUUUAGCCUUUUUCAACUGAAUUUUAUAGUUCGUUCUCAUGUUGUACUGUUAUACCACUGUCCCAGGUUAGGGGAAGGGUUGUUUUACAUUGUCAUAUCGGGGCCUUAUAUAGCCAAAUAUUUGGUAUGGGCUUUACUCAUUGUUGAAGGCCGUACAGUGACCAAUAGCAUGUAUAGUUGUUAAUGUCCGUGUCAUUUUGGUCUCUUGUAGAUAUAGACAGUUGUCUCAUUGGCAAUCAUUGUUGUACAUUGUCAUUUCAGGGCCUUUUAUAACUAACUAUGCGGUAUGGGCUUUGCUCAUUGUUAAAGGGCGUACGAUGACCUAUAGUUGUUAAUGUCCAUGUCAUUUUGGUCUCUUGUAGAUAUAGACAGUUGGCAAUCAUACCACAUCUUUUUUUUUUAUAUGCGUAUACAUUAUAAGCUGUUUGAGACCUCUUAAGUGAAUUACACUUUUAAUUAUUAUCGAAUUAUUUAAUUUACUUUUUUUUUUAAGUCAAAUUUAUAUUAUUUAUGAAUAUUUUAUUUCAGUUACCAUUCACAGUGAACAUGGUGAAGAAUAACCAAUAAAGGACAUAGAAGACUACCUCACAAACAUGGAAAAACUUCACAAACAUUGGAAAUAUUACAAGAAAAACCCAAUAUUUUGAUUCACGAAGAAGACAUUCAUGUACAUGUUGUACUUUGAAAACUGAAGAAAUAAAAUUGUGAAUAAAAAU